rnacentral:sRNA from 1 species
CAACUCCCAACAUUCCAGGAAGUUACCCAGUCUUUGAGCAGACAUGAACGACAACAUCUACUUCACUCACCAUCAUUUAACAGUAAAACAAGAAACUUGUAAGAGUUUCUAAUGGAAGGGCAGGAUUUAUAAGCUACCACUAAUACGGAAAUUCUCUAUGAGAAUAUGAAAAAAUGUGUGUUUAUAUUCAUUGGUGUGUAUACUCAGCCUUCUGAUAUCAGAAUGAGUUUGAAUCUUCUUCAUCUAAAGUUGAGAUGGACGACGGUUUGAUGUGACUGGAGACGUAACAAGGCCACCUCUCUCACGGCGCCAACACCUGCCUGCAUUUGUGUAUCAGGACUCAGUGACUCAGGAUAUUGUUGAGAGAAUUGAAGUCCCAGAAUUUUAACGGUUUCUACACUCCGUAGAUCAGCAGCAGAACCAACCUUUACAGCACUGAUUGCUUCGUACAGGACACAGGUGUCUUUAAGCAAGUCUUUAGAUGACUGGAAGCAGUUACUGUCCUAGAAGACUGACAAGUCCAGCUUUGUUGACGAACCACUGGGGCUACUACCAGGCAUUUAGCGCCCACCUCUGAGUCAUGGUGACGUGGGCUCGGGUGUUUGGAAACCACUUCCUACCCUCAACUGCCCGCUAAGCCCAAGUCACUGACUUCUGACUGGACUUUCCAUACGGUUACCUCACAGCGAUACAUCGACCUGUUGUGUGAGCCGAGUUAACAGGAGGACGGACUGGAAGAGGAAAGAACACGAAAGCAAGUUCUGGGUCUGAAGAAUUCAGAAGAUUCAGGCUGCAGAAGAUAUUUCCCGUGGCAGUACACUUUCAGCGCUUGCCUGCUCUUGAGAAGUUCCAGAAAUAAUACAGAUGAGCCCUAUCCAGUGAGCCAGAGACCAGAAAGAACAAGCCCAGGCCACCUCCCUGAGCAAGAGGGAAACCCUUGACACACUGCUCCUGGGCACCCUGACAGCCUGAGGACUGAAGUCACAUGCUUCUCGUCUGAGUCUAAACCUCACUGAACCACUCUGAAGAUUCUAGAAGCACUAUUGGCAGCUUGCAAUACUGUUAGUUGGUGUCACAUAUAUAUUACGAGCAUACAUGCCUACUGGUUCUGUUUCUCUGGAGACCACGGUUCCUCCCCAAACCCCAUCUUCCCAGAUAUCAGCCAAGGCUCAACCUUGCAAGUUGAUUUUGCAUGAAUAGCAGCAACCAUGAGAGAAGUCUCCCUCUGCCCCACCAGUUGACUGUUUCCUGCACAUUACUGACUUUCACUCUAGUAGAAGUCACGUGGUCAUUAAACCAGGGAGCAGUCGAGCCCACCAACAAUCAUGAUGUUGAAGAAAAGGCACAGGAAGAGAACUUGUGUUGGGGUUGAGGCAGCAGGCACAGACCCCAGACUACUGGCUUUCCUGAAGUAACGGGACAUUCACUGAAGACUCAGGAGUGUCAUGGUUGAUGAGGAGACUGGAGAAGCCUAGAAACUCUUGCCAUUCCUCACAGGAAGAUGUAGGGUUGAUUUCCUGUAUUCCUAGAGUUGGGCUGGUACCUGUUUACUGUCGCUAACAGACUACAGCCAGUGUGGCACUGUGGGCAUCUAGAAAGAAGC